rnacentral:rRNA from 1 species
UACGUAGGGGGCAAGCGUUGUCCGGAUUUAUUGGGCGUAAAGAGCGUGUAGGCGGCUUUGCAAGUCCGUUGUGAAAACUCGAGGCUCAACCUCGAGACGCCGGUGGAAACUGCAAAGCUAGAGUCCGGAAGAGGAGAGUGGAAUUCCUGGUGUAGCGGUGAAAUGCGCAGAUAUCAGGAAGAACACCCGUGGCGAAGGCGGCUCUCUGGGACGGUACUGACGCUGAGACGCGAAAGCGUGGGAGCGAACAGG